rnacentral:lncRNA from 1 species
CUUUCAGCUCAGUUGAGGUAGGAGCCGAUGGAAGGAUUGGAGGAGGAUGAAGAUUUGCAUUUGGAACCGGAAUCGGUGGAACCAAUAACAGAUAAUGCAGCAAUUGAUUAAUUGGAUAGGCCAGAGGAAUCAUAAUUUUUGUAGAGUUUUGUUAGAUAAUUUUUAGAUAGGUAUCAAUUGAGUGUUUGCGAGGAUGUUGCACAGAUAAGAGUAGGGCUAUGUAGAAUAGAUAUUAAUUCAUUUUUGAAAGAUAUUGAUAAAAUAUAUUUAUAGUCUAUAU